GUACUACUUCGCGAUUACAUAUUGCAUAUUUCAGCACAAGUGUUCCGAUGUUUCGAUGGAUUGUGUGGUUACUGAUCGUUGCAAACACCGCAAGCAGUCCCGCUAAACUUGGAAUGUAUUGCUUUCAUGAGUGCUACAUUUAUAACUUUCAAUCGAACGGAGACAUAUUCGCGUUUCAACACAUCUCAAAUAACUUUCAUGUGCUGAACUUGCAAAAUGUGUUGAUGAAGCGCGUUCGUCAGUGGAUCCUGGAACGAUUGCCACCGUUUGUAGAUACACUAAAGAUAGGAAACUCCAACAAACUGAAAUGGAUCAGUGUUCCGCAAGCACUGCGCAACUUACAUAUCCGAUACAGCGGUUUGAGAAGGAUCGAUAUAGCUGCCAACAGCUCAUUAAGCAUACUCCAUAUUUUUAGCAGUGACAAACUAAUGAAAGUCCCGCCUGCUGUUAAAAAUGCACCUAAGCUGCAGUACUUGAGACUGCGUGAGUGUGGCUUGCGCAA